rnacentral:tRNA from 1 species
AGUGAGGGUCCGUGACUCAGUGGCAGAGUGUCUGCUUGGCAGGCAGAAGGUACCAGGUUCGAUCCCCGGCUCCACCA